AACGAACGCUGGCGGCAGGCCUAACACAUGCAAGUCGAACGCCGUAGCAAUACGGAGUGGCAGACGGGUGAGUAACGCGUGGGAACAUACCCCUCGGUUCGGAAUAACUCAGGGAAACUUGAGCUAAUACCGGAUACGUCCGAGGUUUUGAUCGACCUUGGAGAAAGAUUUAUCGCCGAAGGAUUGGCCCGCGUCUGAUUAGCUUGUUGGUGAGGUAAUGGCUCACCAAGGCGACGAUCAGUAGCUGGUCUGAGAGGAUGAUCAGCCACAUUGGGACUGAGACACGGCCCAAACUCCUACGGGAGGCAGCAGUGGGGAAUAUUGGACAAUGGGCGAAAGCCUGAUCCAGCCAUGCCGCGUG
rnacentral:rRNA from 1 species